rnacentral:rRNA from 1 species
CCUACGGGUGGCAGCAGUGGGGGAUAUUGCACAAUGGGGGAAACCCUGAUGCAGCGACGCCGCGUGGGUGAAGAAGCGCCUCGGCGCGUAAAGCCCUGUCAGUAGGGAAGAAAAUGACGGUACCUGUAGAAGAAGCCCCGGCUAACUACGUGCCAGCAGCCGCGGUAAUACUUAGGGGGUAAGCGUUAUCCGGAUUUACUGGGUGUAAAGGGGGAGCAGGCGGCGAUGCAAGCCAGGAGUGAAAGCCCGGGGCCGAACCCCGGGACUGCUCUUGGAACUGCGUGGCUAGAGUGCAGGAGGGGCAAGCGGAAUUCCUGGUGUAGCGGUGAAAUGCGUAGAUAUCAGGAGGAACACCGGUGGCGAAGGCGGCCUGCUGGACUGCAACUGACGUUGAGGCCCGAAAGCGUGGGGAGCGAACAGGAUUAGAUACCCGUGUAGUC